AGGAAUGUAGGAUUUCCCUAAAUUCAUCAGUUUCAUGAGUGGCUCUAUACAGAAAAUCCAGAUAAGAAAACUGAAGAAUUUGCUGAGCCUCAAGUUGAACCCAGAGCUGUUUAAUCUAAAAUGGAUGCUCUUUGACAGUUCUGCACCCAUAUACAUACACACACCACAAUUACCAUUAAUCAUUUGAAAGGUAAGUGCUAGACACACUGAUUUUGAGUUUGCCUUUCCAUUGCAAGUGUUAUUUCCCCAGAC
rnacentral:lncRNA from 10 species